rnacentral:siRNA from 1 species
GGCCAACCAUAAACCGUGUGGGCU